UGGGGAAUUUUGCGCAAUGGGCUAACGCCUGACGCAGCAACGCCGCGUGGAGGAUGAAGGUCUUUGGAUUGUAAACUCCUGUCAGCAGGGAAAAAGCGACCCGGUCUAAUACGUCGGGGAGUUGAUUGUACCUGCAGAGGAAGCCCCGGCUAACUCUGUGCCAGCAGCCGCGGUAAUACAGAGGGGGCAAGCGUUAUUCGGAAUUAUUGGGCGUAAAGGGCGCGUAGGCGGCUUGGCAAGUGGUUGGUGAAAUCCCUCGGCUUAACCGAGGAACUGCCAUCCAGACUGCUUUGCUUGAGGCCGGGAGAGGCGAGUGGAAUUCCCAGUGUAGCGGUGAAAUGCGUAGAUAUUGGGAGGAACACCAGUGGCGAAGGCGGCUCGCUGGACCGGUUCUGACGCUGAGGCGCGAAAGCGUGGGGAGCAAACGG
rnacentral:rRNA from 1 species